GUUUACACCACUAAAAUCUAGAAGUAAUGCAACUACUUUGUAAAGUAUUUUAUUAAUUUCAUGAUGAGAGUUGUGAGAGCUGGAAGUGAGAACGGCUUUCGCCUGGAGCAUCGAUUUUAUUAAAAUNNNNNNUUUUGUCUAGCGCGAACUAAGUAUUGAACCCUCUGAAGCAACUAAUAGCACGUCCUAGCAAUAUUUUAUUUACAUAUUAAAAAUCUAAAAAAUAUUUAUUUCUCUUAUUUUAGUUAUUCAAUUAAUCA
rnacentral:lncRNA from 1 species